AAAUAUGGUAGCUAGGAUAGGAGAGAGAGAGAGAGAGAGAGAGAAAAGGAAAAAGAGGUGAGAAAAUCAAUUUAGAUUAUGUGUUCUUCCAGCUUUGGCCCAAAUAGGGAGCAUCAUGGAUAGUGGAGGUAUUACCAAGGGUAGAAGGGACUCUUGUCCUUCAUCUCAUUUGAGACUCUACUGAACUGAUUGCCCUUCUGGGGUAUGGCCACAUUCACAUGGUGUGGCCCGGCAGAGAAAUAACUCAAGGUUUAGCUUUCUCGAGCCCACCUUAUUUCCACUGAGGUGUAAGGAACCCCGAAAAGAGCAGGAGUUUAUCUGGAAAGCAUCACCAGUGGGAGUUGUCAUGGUUGGGCAGGGUCAAGGUAGCUUAUAGUGAGGGCUGCAUGGUAGACCACCUGGGGCAGGCUAAGCAGGAGACAUAGCAAGGAGAAUGGAGUGUAGACCCAACAGAGGAGUCCAAAGGACCAGAGAGAGCUGGUGUGAGGGGCCCAGCCAGGCAACCAGUGGGAGAAAGCCUGGACUAUCUGACUCUCAUACAGAUACAUACAUUGGCUGUGAAUCCCGUUAGGGCAGCAGCAGCUGGAUGGCUCAGGGAUUCCCACUCAAUCUUGCUGUAACAGCCAGAGGAAUAUUAUUCUUCACCUGCCAUGAAGUCACGUAAGCUCCACCUCUCCUCUUAGAACCAGAUGUCAUCUUGGAGAGGAGCCAGGAAGGGAACAGAAGACUGAUGUGUCUGAGAGACUAAGCCUUUAUUUCCCCUUUGAGAGUAAACAUUCUUUGAAGGGACCAUUUAAAUUAUGGUGUUAUACUGAGGUUCAAACCUGAUUAGCCAUUGAGGGAAUCAGAUUGCAUUUGUGAAUAUUUUAAAAAAUCAAAUCCACUCUCAGAGGACAAAGAUUAGCUAGUUUUGAAAGACUUCAAAAAAUAUGCUAAUAUAUGACACCCAUCCAAAUGUAUCCACCCAAAUGUAAAUGAAAACAACUAUCCUAUACUUUUGUCUUUGGAAUUUGUAAACAUUGGAAAAAUAUAGAAAUUUACUGGUUAGUAGGAAAAAAGUCAUGGGCAAAUCAGGUUCAGGAAGCACAAUUAACAAGAAGAUUGAAGAAUGUGCAAGUAUCA
rnacentral:lncRNA from 1 species